UCGGAAGGUGCGGCUGGAUCACCUCCUUCUAAGGAGUAAUUACCUACUGUUUAAUUUUGAGAGUUCUUAAAUGAACUCAUAUUGUGGGGGUGUAGCUCAGCUGGGAGAGCACUUGCCUUGCACGCAAGGGGUCAGGAGUUCGAUCCUCCUCAUCUCCACCAUAUUAGUACUUUGAAAACUGCAUAACAUUUAGUGAUGAUUAAAUAAACCAAUUAUAAGAGAAGAAAACUCUUUAAAAAAUAACACUUUUAAUAACU
rnacentral:tRNA from 1 species